UUAGAGUAGAAUUUGAGGUUUAACCUGCCCACUGAUUUAUUAAAUGGCCGCAGUAAUUUGACUGUGCAAAGGUAGCAUAAUCAUUAGUUUUUUAAUUAAAAGCUUGAAUGAAUGGUUGGACGAAAUAGAUACUGUCUUUAGAUAAUAAAUAGAAUUUAAUUUUUAAGUUAAAAAGCUUAAAUAAUUAUAAAAGACGAGAAGACCCUAUAGAUCUUUAUAAUAUUUUAUAUAUAUAUAAUUAAGAUUAUUUUAUUAUUUAUAUUAAAUACUAUUUUAUUGGGGUAAUAAAAAGAUUAAGUUAAUUCUUUAUAAUUUUUAUAUAAAUUAAUAAGUUUUUGAUCCUUUAUUAAAGAUUUAAGAUUAAGUUACCUUAGGGAUAACAGCGUAAUUUUUUUGAAGAGUUCAUAUCGUUAAAAGAGUUUGCGACCUCGAUGUUGGAUUAAAAGUUAUUCUAGGUGUAGUAGCUUAGAGUUUUGGUCUGUUCGACCAUUGAAUUUUUACAUGAUCUGAGUUCAGACCGGCGUAAGCCAGGUCGGUUUCUAUCUUUAUUAAGUUAAUAUAUUUUAGUACGAAAGGACCAAAUAUAAAAUAUAUGGAAUAUUUUUAUUUUUGAAUUAUAU
rnacentral:rRNA from 1 species